rnacentral:rRNA from 1 species
CAUGUGGUUUAAUUCGAAGCAACGCGAAGAACCUUACCAGGUCUUGACAUCCCGAUGCUAUUUCUAGAGAUAGAAAGUUACUUCGGUACAUCGGUGACAGGUGGUGCAUGGUUGUCGUCAGCUCGUGUCGUGAGAUGUUGGGUUAAGUCCCGCAACGAGCGCAACCCCUAUUGUUAGUUGCCAUCAUUCAGUUGGGCACUCUAGCGAGACUGCCGGUAAUAAACCGGAGGAAGUGGGGAUGACGUCAAAUCAUCAUGCCCCUUAUGACCUGGGCUACACACGUGCUACAAUGGUUGGUACAACGAGUUGCGAGUCGGUGACGGCGAGCUAAUCUCUUAAAGCCAAUCUCAGUUCGGAUUGUAGGCUGCAACUCGCCUACAUGAAGUCGGAAUCGCUAGUAAUCGCGGAUCAGCACGCCGCGGUGAAUACGUUCCCGGGCCUU